GUCUACGGCCAUGCCACUCUGAACAAGCCCGAUCCCGUCUGAUUUCAAAAGCUAAGCAGGAUUGGGCCUGGUUAGUACUUGGAUGGGAGACCACCUAGGAAGACCAGAUGCUGUAGGCG
rnacentral:rRNA from 1 species